rnacentral:misc_RNA from 1 species
UAACAAUAAAUGUAGUUGACAAAGUGAUAUGUCAAUUCUAAAAUAAAUAUUGUGAAUGCGCUAAUUGUGGGAAGUUAGAAUUUUAGUAAAAGAAAACUAAAUAAGUUUGAGUUAGAAACUUAUAGCUGCAUUAUUACAUCUAAGUUGAACAUUUAAAAUAGUUCCUGCAGAUGAUUGAUAUGUUCUUUUCUUCAGACUUCAUUAAGUUGUUGUAGACUUCAUUUUAGUUUCUUUCAUCCAGAUACUACUAUGAAUCAUCCGGAGUAGAAUUUUAGAAAUUUGUGUCGAUAAAAGUACCUGAUAAGUUUG